rnacentral:rRNA from 1 species
AAAAUAUUUUGAUGAAUAUUUAUCUAAUAUUAACAUAAUUCAUAUUACUAUAUAUUUUAGUAUAUGAAAUUUUACUUUGAGAAAAUUAGAGUGCUUAAAGCAGGCAUAUGCCUUGAAUACUCCAGCAUGGAAUAAUAUUAAAGAUUUUUAUCUUUCUUAUUGGUUCUAAGAUAAGAAUAAUGAUUAAUAGGGACAGUUGGGGGCAUUUGUAUUUAACAGUCAGAGGUGAAAUUCUUAGAUUUGUUAAAGACAAACUAAUGCGAAAGCAUUUGCCAAGGAUGUUUUCAUUAAUCAAGAACGAAUGUUAGGGGAUCGAAGACGAUCAGAUACCGUCGGAGUCUUAACCAUAAACUAUUGCCCCCAAAAAUUUUGAAGGAAAGUACCACCAGAACCCCAACCUCGA